UACGUAGGGUGCAAGCGUUAAUCGGAAUUACUGGGCGUAAAGCGUGCGCAGGCGGUGAUGUAAGACAGUUGUGAAAUCCCCGGGCUCAACCUGGGAACUGCAUCUGUGACUGCAUUGCUGGAGUGCGGCAGAGGGGGAUGGAAUUCCGCGUGUAGCAGUGAAAUGCGUAGAUAUGCGGAGGAACACCGAUGGCGAAGGCAAUCCCCUGGGCCUGCACUGACGCUCAUGCACGAAAGCGUGGGGAGCAAAAGGG
rnacentral:rRNA from 1 species